rnacentral:Y_RNA from 1 species
UGCUGGUGCAGUGGUGUUUACAACUAAUCGAUCACAAACCCGUUAUAGAUUUUUUUUUGUUCCGUCUCCACUUCCACUGCUUCACUUGACUAGAAAAGA